AUUGAACGCUGGCGGCAUGCCUUACACAUGCAAGUCGAACGGCAGCACGGGAGCAAUCCUGGUGGCGAGUGGCGAACGGGUGAGUAAUGUAUCGGAACGUACCUUUCAGUGGGGGAUAACGUAGCGAAAGUUACGCUAAUACCGCAUAUUCUGUGAGCAGGAAAGCAGGGGAUCGCAAGACCUUGCGCUGAUUGAGCGGCCGAUAUCAGAUUAGCUAGUUGGUGAGGUAAAGGCUCACCAAGGCGACGAUCUGUAGCGGGUCUGAGAGGAUGAUCCGCCACACUGGAACUGAGACACGGUCCAGACUCCUACGGGAGGCAGCAGUGGGGAAUUUUGGGACAAUGGGCGCAAGCCUGAUCCAGCCAUGCCGCGUGAGUGAAGAAGGCCUCGGUUGUAAGU
rnacentral:rRNA from 1 species